CCUGAGAAACCCAAAAGAUCGAAUGGGGAGAUUCAUCGUCAGCGAUCCUAGCACGUGUGCGAUUCGUGAUGCCGGAGUCUUCGGACUCGCGGCACACGUUCGCAUGGUUUUAUUGCCGGGUGUCGUCGGCGUGCACUUCUCCCCUAGUAGGACGUCGCGACCCGUUGGGUGUCGGUCUACGGCCCGAGUGGGCGCCUGUCAUGUGUCACGCUUCGCGGCGUCAUGUGGCAGACCCUCGGUUGUCUGACCAGCUGCUCGGCGGUACUCGUACGGUAUCGAGUCGCAAUUAUUCGAACUGCGUCCGGCCCGCCGCAAGCGAGGUCAGUGUUUCCCGGAUGUACGGACCUGGUGCCGUCACCGGGCCUGGCCCGCUGUUGGUUGGUGGUGUCCUGGGACUGGCUCUUAAAAUUAUGAUACCGGUCGGCGACGCUACUGCUUUGGGUACUUUCAGGA
rnacentral:rRNA from 1 species